UGAUGAUGGUGAGGGAAAUUUCUGAGUAUACUCUUAAAUCUCUCCCAAACUUGGUAGAGAUUCUCUCAUUCUUUCUUUCUAAAACUCAGAAUCUCACUUCUCAAACG
rnacentral:snoRNA from 1 species